AUCAGGGACAUUGGAAUAUUUUUUCAAUUUUUGAACAGUAAGCAGAUACGCUAAGUCUAAUCUUUAUCCACCCAGAAUGGCUUAAUCAAAAGCAAGUUCACUGUUAACUUUCCUCUUCUCUCCUUUCUCGUUCGGUAUGCUCCCCAAUCCUCUUUCUGUAAGUACUAUGUUCUUCUACUGCUUCACUUCAUUUAAUACAGAUUUUUUGUCUAUGUACCUGACAUCACUUACUCCUUUUCUUGCAAGGUUUUGUAGCACUAUUGGUCUUUUUGCUCUCUCACAUGACAUUCCAUUGCCUCCUUUUCCUCUGAGAAGCUACCAAGAGCUAUUGCUUAAUCUUGAAUUGCAAUCUUUCCUUCGUCCAAGUGAUAUCAAAUCCUGGCCAAAAUAAUCUUCUAGCUGGGAGGCGUGGAUAGACAGACUCCAACCCCUUUUCUCUUGUACUUGGAAGCUCUUGUGUAUUUAUGACUUCAUUAAGCUAACCAUAUGUGCACCACCUUUCUGCCCGGGGUUAUUGGCUGACUCCUUGAGGCUAUGGUCCAGAUCUUGCAACUCUUUUAUUUUGCCUAUGGGACCAAUAUCUAUCACAUUGAAGGAUAUUAAGGUCCUAAUAUGCCUACUUAUUAUUGGCAAGGAGGUUCCUAGCUCCUUCACAGAAUUGCUUUCCAGAUACAAGAAACUGGAUCGAUUCACUUCUUAUAGCCCUUAUUGAGUACAGCAUCAGCCAAUUCGAUUAUACUCUAUUCGUCUAGUGCUUGAUUUACAAAUUCAUUUUCUGUCCCUCCAGUGUGUACCUGCCGUUAGCUUGUUGUCUUGCCAUAGUUCAGCCUUGUGCUCUUGGUACCUGUUAGAUAACAGCCUGCACACCUAGUGAAACAGAGGAAUAGGGAGAGAGAGAGAGAAAGAAAUAGAUGAGAAAAAAGAUAGAUUGGAUGAGAAAAGAAAUAAAUUGGAUGAGAAGAGAAGAGAAUAUUCAGAGAUGAGAGAAAAGUAUUAUUAUUUAUUGAUUCUUGGAAUGAAUCUCCUCUAGUACAUUUCUCUUAUUUAUAUAGCAAAGACUCCCUCUACAAUAACUAUUCUACUCUCCUCCUCAUACAACUAUUGCUCCAUUCCUAUUAUUUCCUUUCCCAUAUUUAGCUCUGCUGUACGUGACAAUACCUCUCCCCAUGAGCACAUUCUUGUUCCCAAGAAUGUGAAAAUUCAGGAAAUAGGAACUGAAAAUUGCAGGUACUUCCUUGUUUGCAAUUGGAAAUAUGAACUGAAUGGCAAAAAAAAAAAGGCUGGAAGUUUCAGGUACAUCCUUCUCAUCAGCUGAAAGUAUGAACACUUAAGUGACAAAGAGUUAAUUUUCUUUCUUUUUCUUCUCCCAAUUUCCCAUGUUUGUUCCUUUAAGAUCACAAUACCAUUUGGUGGUUUAAUUUUCUUCCUUUCCCUACUUGACAUUUCCCAUUUAUCUUCCAUGAGACUGAUAAGAGUAAAACAGUUGAAUUCACCAUCUUUGCUCCCUAAAUACUGCCAUGUACUUCCAACACCCACACUUUUUGAAACACCUUUAUAUUUCUUUUUUUUCAAAAACAUUCCCAAGAAGUUCUGCAGCAAAAAGUUCAGUUUUAUGAAUGAAUUGUGCAAUUACAUCAGAUUCAGCUCAUACUUUCCCCAUUGCAGACUCUAGUUGCCCAUCAUCACCAUCCUCAUAUAUCUCACCUAUGCUAGACAUAUCAACAAUAAAUCUUACUCCAUCUCAGCACUAAGUUGAUCUUCGUAUUUUUCUUCUAAUCCCAGCUGUGGAUGAAUUGUUACUUUUUAAACUUCAACAGAUAUGUCGUCUUGGUCCUCAGCAACCAUGUUUUCAUUUUGAAUUGAAUUUAAAUGAUCUAGGACAAUCACCUCUCCAUCAAUAAUAUCAACCUUUUCCGCUUCUCCAUCGCCAACAAUAUUAACCUCUUUCUUGUCUCCAUUACCAUGAAGAAAUGUUGCAUCAUCAAAAAGGUCAAUCUCCUCCUUAACAUCAAAAUCUCUUAUCUUUCCUUUUUGAUUCAGCAAUCCCUUUUCACUACCAUUGCUCUAAGAAUUCUUGGGUAAUGAGUUUGGCCUUUCUAUUUGCUCUUCUAACAAUUUAUCGAAUUUUUGCCAUCUUUGAUACAGCAACUCCUCUAAGCUUUUUGUUACUCUUCUUUCAAAAAUUUCUAGCAUUCCCUUGAGAUCCUUUUGUUCCCAAAAUUGUACUUCCGUGGUUUGAUGCUCUAAAUGUAUUUUAUUUCCAAGAAAAUUUGAGGAAGAAAAUAUUAAAAAGAAAAUCAGACCUAAAGCAGGGAUUCAGAACAUGGAACUGAUAUUGGAAUUGGAAGAAAAUUACAGAGAAAGGAAGAAGAAAAGCUUGUGAAAGGAACAAAGAACAGGGAAAUAGAAGUUGAGGCAAAAAUAAGGAUUUCAAGAAUUUCAAGAAGGAAUAGAGAAAAGAAACCUUUACAGUGCAGAAAUCGAAAAUAGAGAGAUUGAGAAGAAUUUGAUUGAGGGACAAGGAAUAAGGUAGCUCUUAAAAUGGGGAAAAAAUCUACUUUUUAAAAAUAUUUUUUGAAUUUAGGAAAAGUCUAGUUCUCGAAAAAAAAAGAAAUUAGAGACAAGGUGGAGGAAGAACAAAAUUUCAAGAAUUUCAAGAAACGGGUUGAAACGCUGGAAAUGAGAAAUUAAAGAAGGGAAUAGAAGAAAGAACCAGAAAGUAAUAUAAGAAGAAAGAAUUUGAUUCAAGAUUUUCAAAAAAGAAAGAAGGUGAGAAAGGGAAGAAUUUUCAAUGAAAGAAGGAAGAAUUUUCAAAGGAGGAGAAAGAAGAAUUUAGAGGGAGAGAGAGAGAGAGAAAAUAGCAUAAAGAAACCUGGAAUUCUGGAAUACUCCCAUUGAUCUGUUCAGGCUUGUGACUCUAGCAAGAAGGAUUGGAAGCAAACCCAGCUCAAAAUCGGGUGCACACUUAGUAAAAUAGAGGGAAAUGGAGAGAAAAAGAGAGAGAUGAGAAAAGAGAUAUAUUGGAUGAGAAAAGAAAUAGAUUGGAUGAGAAGAGAAGAAAAUAUUCAAAGAUGAGAGAAAAGUAUUCUUGUUUAUUGACUCUUGGAAUGAAUCUCCUCGAGUACAUUUCUCUUAUUUAUAUUACAAAGACUCCCUCUACAAUAACUACUUACUCUCCUUCUCAUACAACUACAGCUCCAUUCUUAUUAUUUCCUUUCCCAUAUCUAGCUUUGCUAUACGUAACAGUACCAUGUUGUUGUCUGUUGUUUGCUGAGCUCUAUCUACCAUAGUAUCAGAUGAUGCGCCAUUGAGCAAGGUGAAUGGUGCUUUUUGGAUUGUACAACUGUGGUUAUUCUCUUACUUUCCGGAGCUGACAGAUACUCUUCCAGUCCCUAUUGAUAGUGUCUUUGGUAGGAGAGUUACUUCUUUGGCCUGCAUCUGGGAUGAAGGCCGGGUACUGAAGUUUCUAGUUCAACUACUUGCUCGGGUCUUCUCUGGCUUCACUCCUUUUAAUGACACUGAGGCCCUUUGAGUCCUUCCCACCUGGCUUAUCUUCCAAAGCCACUUUUACAGAUGAUGUUGUUAGCCAUUGAGUCUCCAUUAUGGCUGUCCGACACCUACAUAUUGGUACCUCCUUUAACACUCGUCUAAGAAUAGUGAAGCUUGAACUGGAGUUAUGCAUGUCUUCCCUUUGGUGCCAACAACUGGGCUUCAUUCAGGAUGUUUCCUCUGGCAUCCUCAUUCGUGCUAACCCAAUCACUAGCAAUAGGAUCAAUCUAUCAUCUCCAACAAACAUGGAUCGAUACAGUUACAAGCUAGAGCAGCUGCCAGACAUUUGCUAGAUGAUUCCCAUGGAGGCCAUUGACCCUUUCUGCCGCACGUUACAAAGCUGGUGGUCUUCCAAGUUUCAUGAAGCUGUUGUCAAACCUUUGGGCACAGGUACCUACUGUUUUCUGGUUCUCAUCCUGUUAUACUCGUUCUUUCACUAAUCUCUACUACUUUUUCGAGGUUCUUUACCACUCACUUCCUUUACUACUACAUCCUAGAAGGCAGCCUCCUCUAGACCUACACCUCCCUCCAAGAAGUGGGAAAGUGCUCCUUCCUAGUCACAGCUUCCUCCAUCCAACAAGACCAGGGCACCGGUCAAGAGGUACAGGCCAAAAAUUAGAAAUUCUCCUCCCCCUCCGAAGAGACAACGAGGAGGAUCAUCAUUAUCUUCCAUUAGGCACUUUGACCGUCAUGUACCCAAGGCUAGGAAGCCUCAGGCGAGUCCAGCUGUUCUAGUAGAAGCUUCUAUUGGUGGUACUUCUUUCGCUUCUCAGAGUGGUCAUGCUACAUAGAAGAUAGUAGAUGUUGGAGAUGAUGAUGAUUCUCUAGGAGAUAUCCUUUUACUUGCUUCUCCUGAGGUACCUACUACUUUGGCUCUAGCUCCUGUGAUUUCCUCUACCCUUAGUUCUUCUGCUAUUUCGGGCCAAAAAGCUGCCCCCUUGGUUAGCUGCCCCCUUGGUUGAUGUAGUUGAUCCUCUCCAAGAUCUUGACUUCUCUUUUCUAGCCCAGUUUUAUAGCAACUCCAGUGUUCGCCUUGCAGCUAGGCUAUCUGACAAUACAGUCAUAGUAGCCAAGAACCAACUAUACUAUCUGCUAUCCAUAGAGCUUGGUUCUCAUACCGAGGAACAGGGGUCUUUAUUGCUUUCUGCUUUGUCCACCCUGAUUGUAGCAAAAACACCGUUCCAAGAUGCUCAGACACAGGUUGUUGAGAUCUUGCUUGCUAAUGCCAAAAAGGUUCAGUCUUUUGCAGCACUCUCUGCUUCUGUGAUUGCCUUCACCACCAGACACCGUGAGUACAGGGAGGUAGAAUAGGCCUCUCUUAUGCAACUGGAGGAUGAUUUGUUAGCUGAUCACAUGAUAGGCAAGGGUGUGAUAUUAUUUGAGGGUGAGGUUUUAAGGGAGCUAACCGCACUUACAAAGGCUAAGAUUUGGGAGCACAAGUUCUGUUCAAACUUCCUAGCUUCCUACCGAAGCCACUAGGCUGCUCUUUGUGAUCUGUAGAUUCCUUUUAUUUGAUUACUAGUUUUAUAAACCAGUGUAUUGAUUUUCACUGUGGUACAUUUAUUCUUACUUUAUGUUAUCAUUGAUUUGACAGUUAUAAUGUGAAUGAUAAGCAAUGUGUUGACUUUAUUUAUUUAUAUAUGCUGCAAGUGGUUCAAAAGUCAACUUUUGAUUACAAAACUUAUCUUAUCUGCAUGUGAUUAAAUUGAAUAUCUAGCUAUUUUGUUGACUUUCAUUACAUUGUUCUAUGCAGGAAUGCUAUGUUAGCCAUGGGAUCGGCUUUAAUGAGACCGUGGGUCGACCCAUAACUAUUAUCUUCUGUUUGUUUGUUGCAUUUCCCACAUAGUGGAAAAGUAUUUCUUAAGGUUCCUGUGAAAAAUAAUCUCAGCUGUCUCACAGUUUACGGUUACGCGGGCGUGCCAGAUACUGAGUAUAUCUUUUAAUUUGCGCUUUGACUUUUAAACCAAAUGAUUGUGGGAACUGACUUAUUAUACGCA